AAAGUAAGAUAAUCAAAGAGAGACUUCUAAUCUCUCUUCAGCAGUGUAAUUCUGUUAUACUUUUU
rnacentral:tRNA from 1 species